rnacentral:tRNA from 1 species
GCGGGAGUGCCGGAGUGGUCAAACGGGAUUGGUUAAGGACCAAUUGGCUUAGUGCCUGCACAGGUUCAAACCCUGUCUUCCGCA